rnacentral:ribozyme from 1 species
AAAGAAUAGAUUGAAAGAGAAGACAGCGGGUAAACAACAGACACUAUGGAUAUUAAGAGCUCCCAUUAAGAUAUUAUCCUCUUUCUUCAUUUCUGUAUCUCUUUCUCUUUUGUAUUUAUUACCUUC